GGGGAUGUAAUUGGUUUCGACAGUAAUGUAGAAAUAUAAGUAGCGAGUAGUGGAUUCUCGUUGGCCACUUAAAAAACGAGAAAAUAAAAAUAAACGCUGAUAAUACAGAAUUAGCAUACGCUGCCUAGUUAAUGGCACGUCGUUUUACCAUAAGGCCUACUGGUAUGGCUAAAGCGUCGAUUAAAGUAGGAAACAAAAUUAUUUCUUGCCUUGGAAAUAAUGGGUAUAUAAAGGCUACUAAAAAUUCAAGUUUGUUUAUUAACAAGAAUUAGAGGGAAUGAAUAAUAAUAAACUACACUCGUAGAAGCUUAUAUGGAAAUAUUAUUGGACGAGGGUUCAACUCCCUCCAUCUCCACCA
rnacentral:tmRNA from 1 species